UGGCGGACGGGUGAGUAAUGUCUGGGAAACUGCCCGAUGGGGGGGGAUAACUACUGGAAACGGUAGCUAAUACCGCAUAACGUCGCAAGACCAAAGAGGGGGACCUUAGGGCCUCUUGCCAUCGGAUGUGCCCAGAUGGGAUUAGCUAGUAGGUGGGGUAACGGCUCACCUAGGCGACGAUCCCUAGCUGGUCUGAGAGGAUGACCAGCCACACUGGAACUGAGACACGGUCCAG
rnacentral:rRNA from 1 species